CGUCCUAUGGUGAAAGCAGCCAAUCCGCGUGCAGGCCCGGUUGCUAGCUCUGUAUCCACUAGAUCCUCAAUAUGCGCGCCCCGCCCUCUCCGCAAGCG
rnacentral:lncRNA from 1 species